GGCUCGUUAGCUCAGUUGGUAAGAGUGCCGAUAUAUUUGGAUUAUUAAUCGGAGGGCGGAGGUUCAAAUCCUUCACGAGCUG